rnacentral:misc_RNA from 1 species
GCUUUAUUUCUUUAUGGCAGCGUUAGUAUCAAUGGGAUUCAUUUCAUUUCCUUGUAUUGUCUGUUGCGGCAUUUAUUGCUUCAUAUUGACAUUUGCUGUGAAUAUGUCAAUCUACUUUUGAGGAAAUUCCCUUUAUGGAUUGAAAUUUUGGCCAUAUGACACGUUUAUGGAGGAAAUGCAAAUGUGUUGUCUUUUUUCAGUUAGUAUUGUUUCAAUAUUAUAAAAGAUAAGCUUGUGCCCUUUGAUUUCACCAUGUUUUUUUGUUCUGGGCGAUUUUCGUAACUCUUUAUGCAGUUCAUGGCCUAUUUUUAAUAUGAUUGUAUAGGUUUUCUGCAUAAGAAUCUGAUCAGAUUGAGGAUAGUCUUGUAUAUUCUCUAAUGUACAUGAAUUUGGCUUUAUUGACUCAUUAUAAUGUGUUUAACUUAGCAGGGGUGAGCUUGGC